CCGCCAGAAAACUACGAGCGCAAGCUUAAAACUCAAAGGACUUGACGGUGUCCUAUCCCCCUAGGGGAGCCUGUUCUAUAAUUGAUAAUCCCCGAUAAACCUCACCCCUUCUAGCUAAUCAGCCUGUAUACUUCCGUCGUAAGCUUACCAUAUGAAUGCAUAUAAGCAAGCUAAAGCGUUAUAAUUACCAAAACGUCAGGUCAAAGUGCAGCCAAUAAAUGGGAAAGAAAUGGGCUACAAUUUCUAACACAAGAACACACAAAAUAACACCUGAAAACUGUUAUGAAGGUGGACUUAGAAGUAAAGU
rnacentral:rRNA from 1 species